CGCCGCCGCCGCCUAGAUCUCCUCCGACCUGCUUCUCCCUCCGGUGUUCCUGCAGCCAACUCCUCCUUUGCAUCAAGUGAUUCCCCUCUCCCCGUCCCCCUGCAUCUCCUUGCCCCCACGCUAAGGUUUCUCCUCUCCUCUCCUCACACCUUUUCUUGCAGAUCCUGCAAAAAAUCGCGGUCGGGAGAGCCCUACGGCGGCUGUGAGGGACCCGACGUUGAGCUCCGGGGCCACUUCGUCGGCCAGACGUAGGCAUUAAAGAACCAAGCUGAGAGGUUGAAUCAGCCGGCACUGCAUGAGCAGAAGCGUCACUUCCUGUUAUAACUCAAUUAUGCAGAUAUGCAUAAUAACAUCUUCAGUUUUCUGAUAUAGAUGCCUCUGACACCAUCUUUGAUUAACAAAUCUACUGGUGAUCAAAGUCUAAUACACCAGAUAUGCAUAAUAACUUUUUUAAUCUUUCUGCUUGCGUGAAAUGUUAAACUUUAAUAUUUAUUUUUCGAAAGAUAAACUUUAAUAUUUACAACCUUCUGUUUCUAUUUGUUCAAAGAUCUGUUGAUGGUACUCUGACAACACAUAAUUCUCUCCGUGAUGCAUAUAUCUUCCCACAUAUUCUUGUCUUGAGGCAGAUUUUGGUAACCACCUGUAUUCACUAAUGCUAGCAGUAUAAAAACAAUCAUAAAUUUGAUACUUAUUAUUUGCUUCAUCUUUUUAAAUCUCACUGAUACACCUGUGUGGAUCAUGACAGGCAAGGAAUAAUGCUGCUAUAUUCGACAAGUAACAAGGAUGAAUGAUGAAUCAGAAAUCUCAACUCUUCCAUUUUUUGGAUGCAUUCUCCUGAAGGGAAUCGAUCUAUUUUUGGUGUCAGUUUCAUAUGAUGCUGAAAGCACUAGGAGGACGUAGUGCUUGAACGAUAUUGUAUUCUAGUUAUGCCCAUCUCUAUUGGAUGAUGACAUGAAUAGAUUGGCGGUAGUCUAUUCUAUGAUCUCAACGUGCUCCUGAAUCCUGAAUUCAUGAUGCAACAAAUUUAUUAUGAUUUUAUCAAGCAUUUUAUGUGUUUUCCUGAA